rnacentral:lncRNA from 1 species
CCGCUCAGGCCCCCUUCCACAUUGUGGAAGCUUUGUUCUUUCACUCUUUGCAAUAAAUCUUGCUGCUGCUCACUCUUUAGGUUCACACUGCUUUUAUGAGCUGUAACACUCACCGCGAAAGUCUGCAGCUUCACUCCUGAGCCAGCGAGACCACGAACCCACCAGAAGGAAGAAACUCCGAACACAUCUGAACAUCAGAAAGAACAAACUCCAGACGCGCCACCUUAAGAGCUGUAACACUCACCGCGAGGGUCCGCGGCUUCAUUCUUGAAGUCAGUGAGACCAAGAACCCACCAAUUCCGGACACACCAUUGUCUGAGUAAGUUUGGGUGCCAGGACUAUGAGGUCGUGUGAAGACUUCCAGCCCCAUACCUGCAGAACAGUCUGCAGCUCACUCUGCUCUGAACUGCCCCAACUUUGCACAGAUAUUCUCCAUUCCUCGAAAUGAAACUGUAUCCUUCAAAGCUCACACAUUUCGCUUAUUGGCUCAGCGUAGGGAGCAAGUUCUCUAGAUAGCUUACUACCAAAUAAAAUGGUGGAGAAGGGAACCCAGGCAGCUGGGCACAAAAAAGGAAUGAGCAACAAGCUUCCUCUCUGAACAUGAUUUUCUGUGUAAGGUCUUGGACACUCCCUCGACUGCUUCCAGCCAUCUGCCUCAUGCUAGGUUUCUAGUUAAUGUGGAAUGAAAACUCUCACAUCUUCCUUCUAGAUGUAGCUGUGGUAAUUGCAACUUAGGCAGUUGUGCUUGAGAAUCUUCUUCUUAAUACCACAUGGCAAGGUCAUUCCCCAAUGCUUUUAUUUACCUUCACUUGAAUUUUUAUAUUAAACAUUGGAUUGAACAAGAACGGAGAAGAGAAUCACAAUUAUUGUGUAGAUGCUACAUUGUAGUUACAUUUUCUCUUGUAAUUAUUACAGUGCUGGGACUAUUCGAGCUUUAAAAUCCUUUCUGAAGAUCCUAAAGCUACUCAGUGGUUCUGCUGGCAUUAGGGGUUGAUAUGGUUUGGGUCUGUCUGUGUCCCUUCCCAAAUCUCAUGUUGAAUUGUAAUCCCCAAUGCUGGAUGUGGCGCCUGGUGGGAGGUGUUUGGAUCAUGGGGGCGGAUCCCUCAUGGCUUGAUGUGGUCUUCGUGUUAGUGAGUUCUUGCAAGAUAUGGUUAUUUAAAACUGUGUAGCACCUGACCCUCUCUCUCUUGCUCCUGCUUUUGCCAAGUGAUGUGCCCGCUCCCACUUUGCCUUCUAACACGAGUAAAAGCUCCCUGAGGCCUCCCCAGAACCAGAUGCCACUAUGCUUCCUGUACAGCCUGCAGAACCGUGAUCCAGUUAAACCUCUUUUGUUUACAAAUUACCCAGUCUCAGGUAUUUCCUUUUUUUUUUUUUUUUUUUUUGGUCUUAAACUCCAAGCCUCAAGCAAUUCUCCCACCUUGGCAUCCUAAAAUGCUGGGAUUACAGGCAUGAGCCACCAUACCCAGCCAGGUAUUUCUUUAUAGCAACACAAGAGUGGCCUAAUACAGAGGGAUAUUGCCAAUGAUUUAAUAGUAGUCUUCUUUUCUGUAUGUCACUCUGCUUGACUAACCUUAAACAGUCUCUUUAAAUAAUUUGUAAGAUUCACCUAACUACACUUUUCAUAUUGUCCUUCAAUCCUUGCACUUAUGGCAUAAACAUGUUUUAUGAUUAUUAUAUAGGUAUUUAAAUAAUGCAUAUGGGUCCUAUAUUUCUCUAUCAAUGUUAUAAUUUUUACCAGCUACAUAAUUUUGAAUCACAUGUAUAUACCAUCAUUUACCUUCCAUCCAUCCAAAAGAUACGAGAAGGGGAAAGAAAAGAAUAAAAGGGGGUGGCAAAAGAGCUUUAUUUACACACUGGCACAAGGCCCGCCGGGUGUCAGCUGAAGAAGUAGGUGGAACGCUUCACCAGCUCC